AUCCCCCCCCAGCCUUUCUUUACCUUCAUUUCCUCAUCUGCUAAAUAGGAAUGGCAAUCACAUGAUCAAUCUUGUAGGGUUGUUGUGAAGAUUGCAGACAUUAAUCUUGAAUGAAUGUGUAUAAGUUAAAAAAAGUACUUGCCACAUAGGGCUCUGCAAGUGUGACCUAUCAUCGUUACCAUUUUUGUUUUUAUUUUUAGUGUUGGAGGAGAUUGAAUGCCCUAGACCAGUGGUUCUCAAACUUUAUCAGCUGACAGAGUCACCUGGAGGGCUUGUAAAAUAUGAUUGCUUAACCCCACCCCCAGAGUUUCUGACUCAGUUGAUCUGGGAUGAGGCCUGAGAAUUUGCGUAUCUAAGUCAGAGUAUACUGAGUAUAACUAAGUAUACUGAGGCUGCUGAUCCUAGGGCCCCCCUUGGAGAACCACUGCCCUAGAGAUGGUGUGACAUGUAAAGGAAGAAGUAAAUUGUGUUCUGCUUUUGUAUUAUUGUGACAGAGCACUUGAAGCAGCAGCAGGCCUCAUCCACAGUGUUGGGGGAGAACACAGCAAGUCAUCUGGGCAUCACUGCAAAUGAUCAAAGGCACUUAGAAGAACAAGAAACUCACUGUGAAAAA